rnacentral:rRNA from 1 species
AUAAUAAUUUGUUUUUUAAAUAAAAACUAGUAUGAAUGGCUUUUCAUUUUCUAACUGUCUCUCAUUAUUCUCUUUUAAAUUUCUAUUUCUGUGAAGAAGCAGAAAUAUAUUAGUAAGACGAGAAGACCCUAUCGAGCUUUAGCUAAUAAAAUUAUAAUAAAAUUAUCUUUAAGCUUUGGUUGGGGCAACCAUGGAGAAAAUAAACCUCCAGACCUAAAAGAAGAAAUUUUUUCUCUUUUAAUUUAUUGAACCAAUUUUUUGGAAAACAGAAAUAGUUACCGUAGGGAUAACAGCGUAAUCUUCUUUAAGAGCCCUUAUUGACA